UGGGGAAUUUUGGACAAUGGGCGAAAGCCUGAUCCAGCCAUGCCGCGUGCAGGAUGAAGGCCUUCGGGUUGUAAACUGCUUUUGUACGGAACGAAAAGACUCUGGUUAAUACCUGGGGUCCAUGACGGUACCGUAAGAAUAAGCACCGGCUAACUACGUGCCAGCAGCCGCGGUAAUACGUAGGGUGCAAGCGUUAAUCGGAAUUACUGGGCGUAAAGCGUGCGCAGGCGGUUAUAUAAGACAGAUGUGAAAUCCCCGGGCUCAACCUGGGAACUGCAUUUGUGACUGUAUAGCUAGAGUACGGCAGAGGGGGGUAUGGAAUUUCCGCGUGUAGCAGUGAAAUGCGUAGAUAUGCGGAGGAACACCGACGGCGAAGGCAAUCCCCUGGGCCUGUACUGACGCUCAUGCACG
rnacentral:rRNA from 1 species